GCUUUGUCCGUUUGGCACGAGUCUGCAACAGGUAUCGGCUAUCGGCCGACAACGGAAUAUACCGAAGAAUGCCGAAGCGGUGCCAACCGGUCUUCGUCGGGAAGGAAGGUCUCGCCAUUUCUCUCGCGAACCUCGAAGUGGUAAGACGUGUUGAGAGCAUCUUUACGCAUAAGUAGUAGAUAAAGGACGCCAUGACAGCUGAUAUGGGUUUGAAAUAGAAUUUCGUAAAAAUUUAUUAUUUUAAUUUAUUGUAAUCAAUUAUUAACAUUUAGCAUUACUGUUUUUUAUUGAGUCGUUGUUAACUGUAAGCAUUUUUGAUAAUUAACUAGUACCAAGGUGAAGAAAGAGAAGAUUAGAGACAUUUUUUUUCUUUAAUCGAUUCAUAUUUUUGUUAAGUUGUCGUAAUUGUAUUAUAAUAUCCAGCUUUCGGUGCAACUGUAAAUAAAAAAUAGAAUCACGUUUUUAAAUCACAUGCUGUUUAAGCAUGAUUAAU